CACUUUGCCGAAGCUCGACGUUUGUUUAUCCAUUUCCCAUUUGUGCAAAUUCGCGUGCCAUUGUUGUAACAAAAACGCAAGCACACAGCUGAUAUAUCACGAACCUAACGUCGAAACCAUUGUAUACGUACAUCGGUCAUUCGAUGGGCACGACCACAUUUUAUGUGAUGGCAAUAAAACGUCCAGAAAUCGCUAAAAUGGUCAGAAUGAUGAUCAGCCUCGCACCAGCAGCCUUUAUAGGAAAUAUGACAAGCUCAUUGCAAUUGCUCGUUCCUUUUACAAGUUCCUUCGAAGUAAGCUAAUUAGCUUGAUCCAAUUUUCGAUUAAUUUUAUUCAGAGAUUCUUCGAUGAUCAUCAUUUCAACGACAAUAAUCUAAAAAAUCAAAAAAAGAGUUCGCUAAACACUUGCAGAAUUACUGUACAGAUACCUCGCAUGACGUGAAAAGAGAUAAAAGAUUUUCUAUUGUAGGCAAUGCAUUUCUUAGGCAUAUAUGAAUUCUUGCCGACGAACUGUGUACUGCAGUAUCUAAUGAAAGUGUUAUGCAACAUCGAUUUCUUUACACAACAGAUCUGCAGUAACAUAAUUUUCUAUAUCUGCGGCUUCGAUGAAGAACAGUUUAAUUAUAAUUUAUUGCCCAUGAUCUUGGUCCAAUUUCCAUCCGGCACUUCAAUCAAACUCGUGUCGCAUUUCCUUCAGGAAAUAAACUCGGGCAAGU